UGUCAGCUCUCAGGCUGCUUGCCCUGCAUGCGCAGCUGGGCCAGUUAUGCGGCUGCAGAUAAGAGGUCAGGUGUGUUCCUCUGCCAGACCCUGCCCCCUCAGGCCCUGUCAGCUCUCAGGCUGUCUGCCCUGCAUGCGCAGCUGGGCCAGUCAUGCAGCUGCAGAUCAGAGUUCAGGUGUGUUCCUCUGUCAGACUCUGCCCCAUCAAGCCCUGUCAGCUCUCAGGCUGUCUGCCCUGCAUGCGCAGCUGGGCCAGUUAUGCGGCUGCAGAUAAGAGGUCAGGUGUGUUCCUCUGUCAGACUCUGCCCCCCCAGGCCCUGUCAGCUCUCAGGCUGUCUGCCCUGCAUGCGCAGCUGGGCCAGUUAUGCAGCUGCAGAUAAGAGGUCAGGUGUGUUCCUCUGUCAGACUCUGCCCCAUCAAGCCCUGUCAGCUCUCAGGCUGUCUGCCCUGCAUGCGCAGCUGGGCCAGUUAUGCAGCUGCAGAUAAGAGGUCAGGUGUGUUCCUCUGCCAGACUCUGCCCCAUCAGGCCCUGUCAGCUCUCAGGCUGUCUGCCCUGCAUGCGCAGUUGGGCCAGUUAUGCAGCUGCAGAUAAGAG